rnacentral:rRNA from 1 species
UACGGAGGGAGCUAGCGUUGUUCGGAAUUACUGGGCGUAAAGCGCACGUAGGCGGCUUUGUAAGUUAGAGGUGAAAGCCUGGGGCUCAACCCCAGAAUUGCCUUUGAUACUGCAUGGCUUGAGUCCAGGAGAGGUGAGUGGAAUUCCGAGUGUAGAGGUGAAAUUCGUAGAUAUUCGGAAGAACACCAGUGGCGAAGGCGGCUCACUGGACCGGUAUUGACGCUGAGGUGCGAAAGCGUGGGGAGCAAACAGG